rnacentral:rRNA from 1 species
GAUGAACGCUGGCGGCGUGCCUAAUACAUGCAAGUCGAGCGAACAGAUGAGGAGCUUGCUCCUCUGACGUUAGCGGCGGACGGGUGAGUAACACGUGGAUAACCUACCUAUAAGACUGGGAUAACUUCGGGAAACCGGAGCUAAUACCGUAUAAUAUAUUGAACCGCAUGGUUCAAUAGUGAAAGACGGUUUUGCUGUCACUUAUAGAUGGAUCCGCGCCGCAUUAGCUAGUUGGUAAGGUAACGGCUUACCAAGGCAACGAUGCGUAGCCGACCUGAGAGGUUGAUGGGCCACACUGGAACUGAGACCCGGUCCAGACUCCUACGGGAGGCAGCAGUAGGGAAUCUUCCGCAAUGGGCGAAAGCCUGACGGAGCAACGCCGCGUGAGUGAUGAAGGUCUUCGGAUCGUAAAACUCUGUUAUUAGGGAAGAACAAAUGUGUAAGUAACUAUGCACGUCUUGACGGUACCUAAUCAGAAAGCCACGGCUAACUACGUG